rnacentral:ncRNA from 1 species
CCGCCGGUGCCUCGUAAAAGAGGAGAAUAGGGAAUGCGGUGAAGAUCCGCAGCAGCCCCCACUACUGUAACCCGGUACGAAGUCCGAAAAAGUCAUUGGCUAGUGCUUUUGCCGAAAAACGUAAAAAACGGAAACGGCAGGAGUGGCUGAGAAGGCGAUGGACGGAGGGAAAACGGGUAAGCCAGGAGACCUGCCGGCGAGUUU